CCUGCUGUCGUCCCUCAGCUGGUGGCAAUCAACUGAGGCCCUGAUCUUUCAGUAACCAGACAUAGAAAGAUUGUGCUCAUGAAGUUCUAAGUUUUAAUUUAGCACUGUUAAACAAAGUUCCACUCACACAAGACAUUUGGAGCUUCUCUUUUCUUGCCUUGUAGAGGAAGGAAAGCAGAUCCCUUCCCAGAGUGACCUACAUAGACUUUUGUUACAGAUAACCGCAUCACCACUCUGGUCCAGAUUAAUUUGCAAUGCAAAGCCUACCUGGGGACACAGUACAGCACACUUCUCUCAGAGCCUUUCAGCAUUGCCGACCUCUGACCUUCACAAAGCACCACCCACCUUAGGAGCUGAACAUGUGACGGGCUGUAAUACAUCUACAUCCCAAUCCAGCAGGUUCCCCCCUGACCAGAGCUCACUCUGCUUCACACACACAGUUUGUCACUAUCUCAUCAAACGCAGUGUCCCGGGUCUCAUCGGCUUUCCCCAGCUUUUGCAUCACCUGCAGAAGGAGGCAACAGGAGCACAUUAAUCCAUCAGUGAAUUAUCCAUUGAUCUGUCUGUGUUUUUAUUCAUGGUGCUUUAUAUUCAGAUCUAUGAGUGGAAACAUGUGUCCGUCUAUUUUCAGGCUGCCUGUGGAAGCCACGUGUCUCCACUACGUCUGAGCUUUUAAAUGCAUUUGUAAUGUUGGUGUUAUGAGAAAGAGGAGAAAUGAAGACGUUUGAUUUGUUAGCUGCACAAGGUCACAGUUAAUCUGAUCUAAACAAGAGCUGCGACACCACCAGCACCACCUGCUGCCAUAAUCCUGUGACAGAUACACAAACCACAGCAACACGACAACGGGACUUCCCCUGUGCUGCCACACACACACACAGCUGCUCUCUGAGAAUCCACACAUCCACACACACAUCAGAGUCUAUUUUGCAACCUCAGUGUAGCAGGGAAUAAAAACAGCAAAAAUGUUACAAACACUGUGUGAAGGAAAGAUUAAUUAAAGUGAAAGUAGUACAUGAGUAAAUGUCCUAAAGCAAAUCUCUUGUCUUGUAUUUAUAUGUACCAGAGUUUUAGAUGAUGUUGUUGUCCUGUAAAAUAAUUAUUGCAUCAGAUAUAAGCAAUAAGGGGAUUCUCUGUGUCUCUUGAGGCUUAUAGAAAAAUGAAUUUCUGAUUAGAUGUCCUGUGUUUAAAAUGUGGAAUGUUGUAUAUCAAUAUUUUGAGAAAAGCAUAUUCAUUUUUGUUGUGAAAGUACAAAAGAAACAUUAAAGGUGCAUGUCUCAUUAA